rnacentral:rRNA from 1 species
UACGGGGGGGGCAAGCGUUGUUCGGAAUUACUGGGCGUAAAGGGCUUGUAGGUGGCCAACUAAGUCAGACGUGAAAUCCCUCGGCUCAACCGAGGAAUUGCGCCCAAAACUACCGUGCUUGAGGGAGACAGAGGUGAGCGGAACUAAGGGUGGAGCGGUGAAAUGCGUUGAUAUCCUUAGGAACACCGGUGGCGAAAGCGGCUCACUGGGUCUCUUCUGACGCUGAGGCACGAAAGCUAGGGGAGCGAACGGG